rnacentral:tRNA from 1 species
GCCCAGGUGGUGGAAUUGGUAGACACAAGGGAUUUAAAAUCCCUCGGCGUUCGCGCUGUGCCGGUUCAAGUCCGGCCCGGGGCACCA